rnacentral:rRNA from 1 species
GACGAACCGUCCGAACGUUAUUCGGAAUCACUGGGCUUAAAGGGUGCGUAGGCGGCGCGGAAAGUUGGGUGUGAAAUCCCUCGGCUCAACCGAGGACGUGCAUCCAAAACUGUGGGGCUUGAGUACUGAAGAGGAUCGCGGAAUUCCCGGUGUAGAGGUGAAAUUCGUAGAUAUCGGGAGGAACACCAGUGGCGAAGGCGGCGAUCUGGGCAGAUACUGACGCUGAGGUGCGAAAGCGUGGGGAGCAAACAGG